rnacentral:lncRNA from 1 species
GCCGCCACCAGGCAGCUGGCAGCGCGACCCAGCCACGCACUGGGAGCGCGCCCUCUCCCCAACUUCUCACCCUCGUCCUGGGUUCCGGGCCCCAGGCCCAGAGACUAGCAAACAGAAAGAACUUCAAGAUUACAAAUAUCCGUCUCAUUUGAUGCGGAAUUACUCGUGGACAGAUAAGAAAAGUGCUUUUGAUAUCAAUAACCUGAGGCAAGUGAAGUGGAAGUUUCUGGAUAUGUCAGGUGAUGCAGAUUUGACUCACACAGUCUUUUGCUGAUUCAGACUCAAGUGCUAUUUUGCUGAGGCAAGACCCCUGGGAGGACAUAUGAUGUCUGAAGAGAAUAUAAAUAGGACUCAACGGAUAGUGAUGGAGUGCUUGCAUAGCUAGCUUUGCAAUGCUUUGGUGGUCUCAGUCUUCCUCUUCACUUCAUGGAGAUUGGUACGUCAGAUAUCUUCUCCUGUCAUCCCUGCUGGACCUAGUCACUCCUGUUGACUCCUGACAAUUUGGUGGAGGCCUGGCAGUUUCUGCUGGACUGUGCCACUGCUGCUGAGUCAUGCUUGAUAUCCUGACACUACUGAACUGGAAUGCUGGUAUCCUACAACGGAGGUUGGAAUUACCUCAAGGAACUACUUCUAAACAGUGCUACCAAGCUGGCGUGAUUUUUCCAUGGACGUAAUAGAACCCUGUUUCUGUCAAUUUAUAAGACAUAUUUGAUUUGCUUGUCUUCUACCCAGUGAAGCACUAAGAAGCAUAUCAUCUACUGUAUGUAAUUAUGUUUUCUUUUAUUAAAAAAUUUAAAUGGU